ACGACGAUGCUUUCAGGGACCCUUUCUAUAGUUUCUGACUUGAGAAAUGUGUUUCUGAAGUGUAUGGUCUUGCCAGCCACAAUGAUGAGUUGUGAUGUUCCCUUGUGAGCAUGAGACCGCGAGAGAAUAAUGACUAUUUCAUAUGUUCUCUACCACUGAUGAUUGUACAUUACUUUUUAAAAGAGCAACAAAGAAGAGAAUAUGUUCAGAGUGGU
ensembl:snoRNA U3 Small nucleolar RNA U3